CAGUCUAUAAAACAUGGGGCCUGAUGACUUUGAAGAAAGUUCAUGUUCCCUAGGAACCAAAUAACAUAAAAGCAAAACUCGAAAACAAAUGAGUCCCCUGCAGUGUACAUUCUGUCUUUCUUGGACUCUUCGGGGAUUGAUUUGGAGACAUGCUUAUCUGAUGAAACAAAAUUCUGUAAACGGACAUAUACAGGAAACCAGCUGAGACAACCAGCCUUGUGGGACUGAGAAACUGCUGGAUUCUUGGACUUUGUGUUCACAGCUAGCCAUUGAUGAAUUAGCUGGACUGCAUGCAGUCUGUUUGGAAGAAAGCCUGGCAUUGCUCAGAAAACUUAUUUUCAGAGUGAGGCUUUGAAGCAUGUGACAAUGGACUGUUAAGAUGGCUCCGUGAGGAAAGCUGUUUGCUGCCAAGCCUGGUGAGCUGAGUUCCAACCUGGAACCUGGAGGAGGAAACUGAUGCCCAAAACCUGUCCUCUGACCGUCACAUGUGUGCAUACCCUCACUCCACCCCCAAAUAAAUAGAGA
rnacentral:lncRNA from 1 species